UUGACUUUCUUAGUUCCUUACACACAUUGUGAAGUUCUCUUUUGAAUGCACUUUUGUCUUCUUUUUUAUUCUUUCUUCUUUCUCUAUUUUUAGGUUUCUUCUUUCUUCUCUGUUUCUAACAUUAACCACAGCUGUGUGCACACAAAGUUUUUCUUGCUUUGUUUUUUGUCAUGUAUUCUAUAUAUGCUAAUCUAUCCAUUUUUUCUCUUUUAAAUUUUCAAUCUAUUUAGUUUAGGUGUAUACUAAUUACUACACAAAUUUCUGCCUAUAAAUAAUAAGAGAUGGUGUCUUCUGAAUUAUUGCUAGACUUUUAGUAUCUACGUGAGAGAAAUAUAAGAGGAAUAUUAUUGAAUUGUGUAUCUACAUUAUAUAAAGAACCUUUUUGAUACAUAAGUUACUCGGAAUGAGACAUCAACUUCAGUCAAUAUACAUGCAAUAUUUUUGAUGUUUCAGUCAGUGUUUCGUAAUCAUUGUUUAAUAGCAAUUAAAAUUCAAUUAAUUUUGUUUGCAGGAAAAGGAACUUGGGAGGCCAAUAACUCAGGCUCAUACAUUCAAGGCUAUACACACAAGGAAGAGGAAAAUCCCUGGAGAUCCUGAUGUUUUGAGCCACAAGCUCAGCUGACCUAUGACGUCCUCCUCGACCUCCCUUGUCUCUAUCUAUUUCACAUGGAGUAUAUGGUCAAUACAGAGGUGUGAUUGAGGACCCCAACAGUGAUGAAGAUGAGGAAGAUUACUAUGUGGACAAUACACCAUCACGUUGUUAAAGUUAAAUGUUGUGCUAAAGAUUCUAAACGAUAUACUUUAUGGCGGUGUAUUUGAAUUACUAAGUGUUUUUGAAUGCAUUAAAACUUUAUAGUAAUCUGAACAAUAGUAUUGUAUAAAUAACUUAUAUUUUCUAUGUUUUGUUCGUUCAAUUUCAAUGUAUUUAAAUUUAAUUCUCA